rnacentral:rRNA from 1 species
ACCCGUUGAUCCUGCGGGAGGUUGCUGCUAUUAGGGUUCGACUAAGCCAUGCAAGUCGGAGGGCCUCUUCGGAGGCACAGGCAAAAUGCUCAGUAACACGUCAAUAAUCUGCCCUUAGAUCUGGCAUAACCUCGGAAAACUGAGGCUAAAACCGGAUAGGUGAAGGAUACUGGAAUGUACCCUCACCCAAAAGCAAUGUCUAAGGAUGAGUUGGCGGCUGAUUAGGUUGUUGGCGGGGUAAAGGCCCACCAAGCCUAUGAUCAGUAGGGGCCUUGAGAGAGGUAGCCCCGAGAAGGGCACUGAGAUACUGGUCCUAGCUCUACGGAGUGCAGCAGGCGCGAAACCUUUACAAUGCACGAAAGUGUGAUAAGGGGACCCUAAGUGCUUUUGCUUUGCAAAGGCUUUUGUUAAAAGUAAAUAUUUUAGCGAAUAAGUGGUGGGAAAGACUGGUGCCAGCCGCCGCGGUAACACCAGCGCCACGAGUGGCAACCAUUAUUAUUGGGCCUAAAGCGUCCGUAGCCGGUCUGAAAAAUCUUUUGUGAAAUUGUUAAGCUUAACUUAACAACGUGCUAAAGACACUAUUAGACUAGGGACCGGGAGAAGUUAGGAGUAUGCUGGGGGGAGCGGUAAAGUGCUAUAAUCCCCGGUAGACUACCUGUGGCGAAGGCGCCUAACUAGAACGGCUCCGACGGUGAGGGACGAAAGCCAGGGGAGCGAACCGGAUUAGAUACCCGAGUAGUUCUGGCUGUAAACGCUGCGAGCAAGGUGUUGCAUAUUCUUCGAGAAUAUGCAGUGUCGAAACGAAGGUAUUAAGCUCGCCGCCUGGGAAGUACGGUCGCAAGGCUGAAACUUAAAGGAAUUGGCGGGGGAACACCACAAGGGGUGCGGCGUGCGGUUUAAUCUAAUUCAACACAGAGAAUCUCACCAGAAGCGACGGCAGGAUGAAAGUCAGGCUGAAGGCCUUACUUGACGAGCCGAGAGGUAGUGCAUGGCCGCCGUCAGCUCGUGCUUAAAGUGUCCUGUUAAGUCAGGCAACGAGCAAGACCUAUAUCUAUAAUUGCUAACAACCUCUUUAGAGGGGUUGAGCACAUUAUAGGGACUGCCUGUGAAAACAGGAGGAAGGUGUAGGCAACGGUAGGUCUGUAUGCUCCGAAUCUUCUGGGCUACACGCGCGCAACAAUGGUAAUGACAAUGGGAUACAACUCCGAAAGGAGAAGUUAAUCCUCUAAACAUUACCUCAGUUCAGAUUGAGGAUUGUAACUCAUCCUCAUGACGAUGGAAUCCCUAGUAAUUGGGUCUCAUCAAGGCCCAGUGAAUAUGUCCCUGCUCCUUGCACACACCGCCCGUCAAACCACCUGAGUAGGGUUUAGGUGAGACUUAGUUUUCAACUAAAGCGAAUCUAAACUCUGCGAGGAGUGUUAAGUCGUCACAAGGUA